rnacentral:rRNA from 1 species
UACGUAGGGUGCAAGCGUUAAUCGGAAUUACUGGGCGUAAAGCGUGCGCAGGCGGUUUGGUAAGACAGAUGUGAAAUCCCCGGGCUCAACCUGGGAAUUGCAUUUGUGACUGCCCGACUAGAGUGUGUCAGAGGGGGGGUAGAAUUCCACGUGUAGCAGUGAAAUGCGUAGAGAUGUGGAGGAAUACCGAUGGCGAAGGCAGCCCCCUGGGAUAACACUGACGCUCAUGCACGAAAGCGUGGGGAGCAAACAGG